rnacentral:rRNA from 1 species
GUGGGGAAUAUUGGACAAUGGGCGAAAGCCUGAUCCAGCCAUGCCGCGUGUGUGAAGAAGGUCUUCGGAUUGUAAAGCACUUUAAGUUGGGAGAAAGGGCAGUAAGUUAAUACCUUGCUGUUUUGACGUUACCAACAGAAUAAGCACCGGCUAACUUCGUGCCAGCAGCCGCGGUAAUACGAAGGGUGCAAGCGUUAAUCGGAAUUACUGGGCGUAAAGCGCGCGUAGGUGGUUCAGCAAGUUGAAGGUGAAAUCCCCGGGCUCAACCUGGGAACUGCCUCCAAAACUACUGAGCUAGAGUACGGUAGAGGGUAGUGGAAUUUCCUGUGUAGCGGUGAAAUGCGUAGAUAUAGGAAGGAACACCAGUGGCGAAGGCGACUACCUGGACUGAUACUGACACUGAGGUGCGAAAGCGUGGGGAGCAAACAGGAUUAGAAACCCUAGUAGUCC